rnacentral:rRNA from 1 species
GCCCAGUGACAUUAGUUAAACGGCCGCGGUAUCCUGACCGUGCAAAGGUAGCAUAAUCAUUUGUUCCUUAAAUAGGGACUUGUAUGAAUGGCCACACGAGGGCUUUACUGUCUCUUACUUCCAAUCCGUGAAAUUGACCUUCCCGUGAAGAGGCGGGAAUACGACAAUAAGACGAGAAGACCCUGUGGAGCUUUAAUUAAUCGACCCAAAGAGACCUUAAUAACCAACCGACAGGAACAACAGACCUCUGCCAUGGGCCGACAAUUUAGGUUGGGGUGACCUCGGAGAAUAAAACAACCUCCGAGUGAUUUAAAUCUAGACUAACCAGUCGAAAGUAUUACAUCACUUAUUGAUCCAAAGCUUGAUCAACGGAACAAGUUACCCCAGGGAUAACAGCGCAAUCCUAUUUCAGAGUCCAUAUCGACAAUAGGGUU